rnacentral:rRNA from 1 species
GACGAACGCUGGCGGCAGGCUUAACACAUGCAAGUCGAACGCCCCGCAAGGGGAGUGGCAGACGGGUGAGUAACGCGUGGGAACGUACCUCUCAGUUCGGAAUAACUCAGGGAAACUUGUGCUAAUACCGGAUACGCUCGUAAGAGGAAAGAUUUAUCGCUGAAAGAUCGGCCCGCGUUGGAUUAGCUAGUUGGUGGGGUAAUGGCCUACCAAGGCGACGAUCCAUAGCUGGUCUGAGAGGAUGAUCAGCCACACUGGGACUGAGACACGGCCCAGACUCCUACGGGAGGCAGCAGUGGGGAAUAUUGGACAAUGGGCGAAAGCCUGAUCCAGCCAUGCCGCGUGAGUGAUGAAGGCCCUAGGGUUGUAAAGCUCUUUCACCGAUGAAGAUAAUGACGGUAGUCGGAGAAGAAGCCCCGGCUAACUUCGUGCCAGCCGCCGCCGUAA